rnacentral:rRNA from 1 species
UUCGAUUAGAGUUUGAUCAUGGCUCAGAACGAACGCUGGCGGCGUGCUUAACACAUGCAAGUCGAACGAGAAAGUACCUUCGGGUGCGAGUAAAGUGGCGCACGGGUGAGUAAUGCAUAGGAACGUACCGAAUGGUGGGGAACAACCACGGGAAACUGUGGCUAAUACCGCGUAAGAUCUUCGGAUGAAAGAGGGCCUCUGCUUGCAUGCUCUUGCCAUUAGAUCGGCCUAUUUCUCAUUAGCUUGUUGGUGGGGUAAAGGCCUACCAAGGCUUCGAUCAGUAGCUGGUCUGAGAGGAUGAUCAGCCACACUGGGACUGAGACACGGCCCAGACUCCUACGGGAGGCAGCAGUGGGGAAUUUUCCGCAAUGGGCGAAAGCCUGACGGAGCAACGCCGCGUGAGUGAAGAAGGCCCUUGGGUUGUAAAUCUCUUUCGGCUAGGAAGAAGGGUGUAUGAGUUAAUACCUCGAACACUUGACGGUACUAGAAGAAGAAGCACUGGCUAAUUCCGUGCCAGCAGCCGCGGUAAUACGGGAGUGGCAAGCGUUAUCCGGAAUUAUUGGGCGUAAAGCGUCCGCAGGCGGUCUUUUAAGUCUGCUGUUAAAGCGUGGAGCUUAACUCCAUUUCGGCAGUGGAAACUGGAAGACUAGAGUGUGGUAGGGGCAGAGGGAAUUCCCGGUGUAGCGGUGAAAUGCGUAGAUAUCGGGAAGAACACCAGUGGCGAAGGCGCUCUGCUGGGCCAUAACUGACGCUCAUGGACGAAAGCCAGGGGAGCGAAAGGGAUUAGAUACCCCUGUAGUCCUGGCCGUAAACGAUGAACACUAGGUGUCGGGGGAAUCGACCCCCUCGGUGUCGUAGCCAACGCGUUAAGUGUUCCGCCUGGGGAGUACGCACGCAAGUGUGAAACUCAAAGGAAUUGACGGGGGCCCGCACAAGCGGUGGAGUAUGUGGUUUAAUUCGAUGCAACGCGAAGAACCUUACCAGGGUUUGACAUCCUGCGAAUCUCUUGGAAACGAGAGAGUGCCUUCGGGAGCGCAGUGACAGGUGGUGCAUGGCUGUCGUCAGCUCGUGUCGUGAGAUGUUGGGUUAAGUCCCGCAACGAGCGCAACCCACGUCUUUAGUUGCCAGCAUUAAGUUGGGCACUCUAGAGAGACCGCCGGUGAUAAACCGGAGGAAGGUGUGGAUGACGUCAAGUCAUCAUGCCCCUUACAUCCUGGGCUACACACGUACUACAAUGCUACGGACAAAGGGCAGCAAACUCGCGAGAGCUAGCAAAUCCCAUAAACCGUGGCUCAGUUCAGAUCGUAGGCUGCAACUCGCCUACGUGAAGGAGGAAUCGCUAGUAAUCGCAGGUCAGCAUACUGCGGUGAAUACGUUCCCGGGCCUUGUACACACCGCCCGUC